rnacentral:rRNA from 1 species
AUUUUCCUACGGGACGCAGUAGUGAGGAAUAUUGGUCAAUGGGCGGGAGCCUGAACCAGCCAAGCCGCGUGAGGGAAGAAGGUACAGCGUAUCGUAAACCUCUUUUGUCAGGGAACAAAGGCGGGGACUAGUCCCCGGAUGAGGGUACCUGAAGAAAAAGCAUCGGCUAACUCCGUGCCAGCAGCCGCGGUAAUACGGAGGAUGCGAGCGUUAUCCGGAUUUAUUGGGUUUAAAGGGUGCGCAGGCGGCAUGUUACGUCAGCGGUAAAAGACCGGGGCUCAACCCCGG